rnacentral:rRNA from 1 species
UCCGUCCCCACCGAAAGAUUUAAGCACAGGGACACUUUUUGAAGGUGGAGCCAGGUGUUGGUUCUGGUAGUGAUCGAGGGAAAUUUAGAACCGAAGUCCGGCUGGAAGAGAGGCGAGAAAAGCUGUGUGUAUAUCUAAGGUGCCCGUACCGCAAACCGACACAGGUAGGUAGGAAGAAGAUUCUAAGGCCAACGGGAGAAGGGUUGUUAAGGAACUCGGCAAGUUGACCCCGUAACUUCGGAAUAAGGGGUGCUCACGAGAGUGAGCCGCAGAGAAUAGGCCCAGGCAACUGUUUACCAAAAACACAGGUUUGUGCUAAAUCGAAAGAUGACGUAUACGAGCUGACGCCUGCCCGGUGCUGGAAGGUUAAAAGGAGAUGUGCAAGCAUUGAAUUGAAGCCCCAGUGAACGGCGGCCGUAACAAUAACGGUCCUAAGGUAGCGAAAUUCCUUGUCAGGUAAGUUCUGACCCGCAUGAAAGGCGUAAUGAUCUGGGCACUGUCUCAACAGCCCGCCCGGCGAAAUUGUAGUACCGGUGAAGAUGCCGGUUACCCGCGACAAGACGGAAAGACCCCAUGGAGCUUUACUGUAGCCUGAUAUUGGGUUUCGGUGUUGCAUGCACAGGAUAGAUGGGACACUGGGAAGCGGAUGCUUUGGCGUUCGUGGAGUGGACGUUGGGAUACCAUCCUUGCGACAUUGGAAUUCUAACCUGCGCCUCUGAAUCGAGGCGGGGGACAUUGUCAGGUGGGCAGUUUGACUGGGGCGGUCGCCUCCUAAAAAGUAGCGGAGGCGUUCAAAGGUUCGUUCGAUCUGGACGGAAACCAGAUGAUUGAGUGCAAACGCAUAAACGAGCCUGACUGCGAGACUGACGGGUCGAGCAGAGACGAAAGUCGGAGUUAGUGAUCCGGUGGUAUGUGAGUGGAAAUGCCAUCGCUCAACGGAUAAAAGUUACCCUGGGAUAACAGGCUGAUCUCCCCCAAGAGUCCACAUCGACGGGGAGGUUUGGCACCUCGAUGUCGGCUCAUCGCAUCCUGGGGCUGAAUUCGGUCCCAAGGGUUUGGCUGUUCGCCAAUUAAAGCGGUACGCGAGCUGGGUUCAGAACGUCGUGAGACAGUUCGGUCCCUAUCUGUCGUGGGCGCAGGAUAUUUGAAAGGCGCUGUCCCUAGUACGAGAGGACCGGGAUGGACGAACCUCUGGUGCACCAGUUGUCACGCCAGUGGCACAGCUGGGCAGCUAUGUUCGGAUCGGAUAAACGCUGAAAGCAUCUAAGCGUGAAGCCGGCCUUAAGAUAAGAUAUCCCACUGAGUCAAUCAGGUAAGACCCCUUGAAGACUACAAGGUUGAUAGGCACACAGUGUAAGCGGAGUGAUCCGUUCAGCUAGCGUGUACUAAUAGGUCGAGGGCUUGACU